GUUUAUGUAUAAAAUGUCAGAAUAUCUACGGUGUCGCCUCAAUAUUACAAUCUUAUGUGAUGUUUAAUUUUUGUUCACAGAAUAGACUGAGGAUAACAGAAUCAGUAUCAUAUGGGUGUUGCACGUCUGUUCGUCCUGUUAUUGAUACUGACUACAGCGCUCUGUAAUCAUGCCACCAAAACAAGAUGCGGACGCACAAGAACUGGACGACUAGUGUGUAACAGAGUUGCAGUGUCGCAUAGAACAGCCACAAGAACGUCUACAUCAUCAAGGCGUACACCUACUAGGACUCAAAAUAGAGGUUUUCUUGGUCGUUUCAGUGGUGGUUUCGGACCGAAUGCAAGAGUUGGAACAGGAUUAUUUGCAAGCGAUCGAUUUUUACAAUCAUCGUUUGGAGGAGGUGGUGGACCUUCAGCGCUUAGAGGGGAUCUUUUGAAUAAUAAUCUGUUUUUUAGAAGACAAUUUGGUAGAGGACCUUUCCGCAGUAUACCAAACGGCCCACUUGCAAGUUGGUCAAGGUUGCCAUUUGGAUUUAUCUAAGGAGUCUUAGAAGCAGUUAUAAGAGGCGAGCAUUGCUAUCGAGUUUCAUCGAGUACACAUUAAAGUUAUAUCUACAAAGAAAAGCUUAUACAAAAGGAUGACGAUGAUAGCUGUAAAGAUCGUUACAUCAAGUUGAUUAUAGCGACAACAAAACCGAGUAGGAGCAAUAAGAGAUCACGUAUUUAGAGAAGGUCCCUUUUCAACGACAGCUCUUUCCAAUAGCCUCGGACCCAUGUUAUUCAUAACCUGAACAUAGAAAGAGAAAAACACUUGGUCUCACUAUUUAUUUUAUUGUUAUUUAUUGAUCUGAUUUCACUGACCCUUCUCUGUUUUCAUUUUCUAUUACUAUUUCUAUUUACUGUUUGUUUUACUUUACUUUGAUACUUUAAUACUUGUAUAUAUCGUUUUUAUUUGUCCGUUUAAUCACAAGUAGAGGAGGGAUACAAGUCAACGAGACAGCAACCGAACGGCGAUCGAAAUCACCAACUGACAUCUAUUUAGAGGUCAGCACAAGUCUUAAACAAACGAUAUUUCAAAAUUUUUUUAUAAAACAUAUUAGGCUUUCCCCAAUUAUAAUUUGUGUGAGUUAUUUCAGAAUAACUUGGAAAUGGUAACUUAAAUAUUACUAAUAAAGCAAUAAUUCUGACUGCGUUUUUUUAUUAUUCCGACACAAACCCAAUUUGAUAAGUUUGCAGAAUGCAUAAGAUAAUUUACAACUUGAUAUAUAUUUACACCAAUAAAUUGAACUUGAUAUGAUGAUUGUAUCUCCAUCAUGUUCAGGGUCCUGGUUUUCGAAAGUAUUAUAUGACUAAACCAUGUCCUGGGAUGGUCUUAGGGGCACAACUUAGAAUCAUGGUGUUGUCAGUUUGUCGUCGACUUAUGAGUUUGAAUAUCCAUUUGGUAUCUGCCGCCUCUCUUUUUUGUCCAAAGUGAUGUUUUUGAACGUGUAUUAAGUUAGAAUAAAUAUUAAAACGUAUCGUAAAGUUAUGAAACCAAAACACCUCCAGAUGGUCUAAGAAUAAGCAUUAACAUAUUUCCUUUACCUUUAUAUCGAUAAAACAUUUUUUGCUAUAAUUAGUCUUUUCAUGCUUUGAAGGAGUUAUAAGACCAGAUAGUGUAAGGUAAAUAUGACUGUUUGUCAUGUCAAUGGCAACUUAUCAAAUGUAUAUUGGUCGUUAAAUCUAUUCCAAUGAAGUUAUCGUGUAAGGCGUACAUGUAAAAUGCAUGCAAAGGUUCCAGAUAAAAUGUUAAAACAUGCAAACAUUAGUUUUUACUAUUGAUUACCGCAAGAGCACAGGAAAGAAUUUAUUCGCUGCAAAUAUGCACAUGUAAACAGUGCAAAAUUUAUUUGUCCUGUAAUUUCAUUAAUCAUCAAAGCCACGAUAUCUUUUUAACAGAUAUAAUUGUUAUAUUAUAUUACUUAAUCAACAUUUUUUUGUGAUGAACAACUUUUCUUUCCUCCCCUUUUCUUUGUAUUUUAUCUUAGUGAUGAUGAUUAUAAUUAAGAAGAAAGAAUGCUUUUACAUAGAGCAUACAUACAACUUAGGAUAAUCCUAAGAUAGCCGUAAGACCAUCCUGAAUAGGAUUAUCCUGAGUCAUAUUUGAUGUACAGUCUAAGACGUAUACUAGGAUGAUCUUUUGAUAGUCCUAUAACGCAUGUCAUAGGAUAUAUGUUUAAGGGUAAUUUCGAAAAACCAGACCCCUAUAUACGUAUCAAAGAUUUUUUCUUUCUUUGAAUUGUUACUUUACCAAUCAUUCAAAUUUUGAAUAUUGACGAUUUUCAUAUGACAAUUUAUGUACUGUAAGUGUUCUGUAAAUUUAAUAGCUGACUUCUUGAAUUAAAUUUAAAGCAUGUUUA